UACAGAGGUGGCAAGCGUUAAUCGGAUUUACUGGGCGUAAAGCGCGCGUAGGCGGCUAAUUAAGUCAAAUGUGAAAUCCCCGAGCUUAACUUGGGAAUUGCAUUCGAUACUGGUUAGCUAGAGUGUGGGAGAGGAUGGUAGAAUUCCAGGUGUAGCGGUGAAAUGCGUAGAGAUCUGGAGGAAUACCGAUGGCGAAGGCAGCCAUCUGGCCUAACACUGACGCUGAGGUGCGAAAGCAUGGGGAGCAAACAGG
rnacentral:rRNA from 1 species